rnacentral:rRNA from 1 species
GUCGAGAAUCUUCCGCAAUGCGCGAAAGCGUGACGGAGCGACACCGCGUGAUGGAUGAAGUCCUUCGGGGCGUAAACAUCUUUUAUAAAGGAGGAAAUUUUUGACGUUACUUUAUGAAUAAGGGGCUCCCAAUCUCGUGCCAGCAGGAGCGGUAAUACGAGAGCCUCAAGCGUUAUCCGGAAUCAUUGGGCGUAAAGGGUGCGUAGGUGGUUUGAUUAGUCUCCCGUUAAAACUUCGAGCUUAACUCGAAAAGAGCGGGGGAAACGGUCAAACUAGAGUAUGUGAGAGGUGUGUGGAACUCAUGGUGUAGGGGUGAAAUCCGUUGAUAUCAUGGGGAACACCAAAAGCGAAGGCAGCACACUGGCACAUCACUGACACUGAGGCACGAAACCUAAGGUAGCGAAUGGGAUUAGAAACCCGUGUAGCC